rnacentral:lncRNA from 1 species
CUUGAAUAUUAUUAUAGAUAGAGAUAAACUGUAAACAGCAAUAAUGUUCAGCAAAGUAAGAUCUACAAAUAAGUCAACAUGACCAAAAUGGUCAGUUGACCACUUUAGGAGUUAUUGCCCUUUAUAGUCAAUUUUUAACCAUUUUUCGUAAAUCUUAGUAAUCUUUUAGAAAAAUCUUAUCUGAAACUACUGGGCCAAAUUUAACCAAACUUAACCAUAAUCAUCAUUGGGGUAUCUAGUUUAAAAAAUGUGUCCGGUGACCCGCCCAACCAACAAAGAUGGCCACCAUGGCUAAAAAUAGAACAUAGGGGUAAAAUGCAGUUUUUGGCUUAUAACUCAAAAACCAAAGCAUUUAGAGCAAAUCUGACAAAGUAGUAAAAUUGUUCAUCAGGUCAAGAUCUAUCUGCCCUGAAAUUUUCAGAUGAAUCGGACAUUC